UAUUAAAAAUUUCAUCAAUUUGUACAAUUAAAAAUUGGCGUGGCUAACAAAAUAAUCAGACAGUAACACGUGUUGUGCCAUGUGUAUCUCAUGUUGAUGUACAAAGAUAAAUUUUUAAUAGUAGAAAUAGAAGAAAUUUUUUAACA
rfam:Gossypium hirsutum cultivar TM-1 chromosome 15, whole genome shotgun sequence